AUGAAUUGGGAUUGCCCCAGAGGUCCUCUCACUCCCAGCUGUCCUUGAGACGGUGCCGCGCAGGUUUCAAUUAGAUCGUUCGCUCUUCAAACUCUCUUUUCUUUUUGAGAAUUUUGAAAGUUCAUUCGUUCGUUCGUGCUUCUACUUUGAUCACUCUGCAACUUUAAAGUUUUAAAAAUCCCUGCUGGUGGUAUCGUCAAGGGGCCUUUUGGAAGUGGGAACUUUUGGGGACAACAAAACCUUUUGUGAACUGUCCUGUCUCUGGCGGCGGGGUGGGGUUCAAGUGGGACGGGCAGAAUGGCCUCGUCCUUACCCACCUGUCAGCUUGGGGGCGCAUUGGGGCUCGCUCGCCGUGGACAAACCGCCAAAAAAUCUAAAACCUGUCGUACCUUCCCAGUCUUACUUGAAUCUGUCCUUUAAAUACAGAAA
rnacentral:misc_RNA from 1 species